rnacentral:lncRNA from 1 species
UUCAAUGCAUAUGCAUUUAUGUAUAAAUUAUCUAUCCUUUUAUAAUUUAUACUAUUUCCAUAAUAUUUACAUUUCAUCUUUUAAUACGUUUUAAUUAACCAAUAACAGUUGUCCGUUUGGUGUAAUAAUACCAUACCAAUGAAAGAACUACUUUAGGUUCGACAAUCACUGACAAGGUCAUGACAGAAGGCGGGUGGCUUGUCAAAAUAAGGUCAUUACGAUCAUAAAUCCAGCCUUCAACCUGUAAUCGACACCGGAAUCUAACGAUUCAACUAAGCAGUGGUCUUUUAAGACUUUAAUAAAAGGUGUGCCUUCUUUGUAUUCAUGCAAUUUCACUUCAACAGAACAACCUAUCGUCCAGGAAGGAUUACUGAUCGGUUGUUGAUGGCAUAUGAGAUGAGUUAACGAUGUUUUACCAACACCUGCAUAGAAAAA